rnacentral:lncRNA from 1 species
GUGGUGGAUGCAUUGACUUUCCAAUAUUUUAUUAGUCUGGUAAUAUAAAAAGAGAAUUGGUAUGCGUCUUAUGAAUGUUAUGUAUCACUUGAUACUGAAAGUUUACAUGAAAGUCCCGAAGGAUUAAAUUAUGUAGGUCAUGUAAAGUAAGUUCUCGAGAACAAUGUGAUCAUUUAUACAUAUUCGGAUUUGAAUAGGUUAUGAUUAUUUUACAUGUUGGAUAUAAUUGGAACUCCUGAUGAGUUUCUAAAAGCAAUUGAGUGCUUAAAAGGUUAAUUGAAACAUCUUAAUGAUGUAAUACUUGUGCACCAAGAAACAUACACAGAAAACUUGUACCUGGUGUUUGUGAUAUCUCAAUAAAUAGUGUACACACAUGGUACAAUAUGGAUUUUGGAGAUAAAAGCAAGUGUUCAUAACAUUUUUGCAUAUGAUAUAUGUUUUGAUAUCUAUGUGUUAAAUGGGCAAAUUUAUGUAGCAAAACUCCUAAAGAGUGAAAUCACAUGCAUAUUAGGAUAAGAUGGAACAAAUUCCCUCAUGGUUUAAUAAUGCCAGAAGUAUUGAUGUCAAAACCUCAAGAACAUACUCUAUGAAGUUGACAAAAUAUGUAUGGACUAAAAUAGUCGGGUAAAGUGUUGUACAACUCGAGAUAUUCGCAUAAAGAGGGAUAUAAGUUU